CCUACGGGCGGCAGCAGUGGGGAAUAUUGCGCAAUGGGCGAAAGCCUGACGCAGCGACGCCGCGUGAGGGAUGAAGGUCUUCGGAUCGUAAACCUCUGUCAGCAGGGAAGAACGGUCACUGUGCUAAUCAGCAGUGAAUUGACGGUACCUGCAAAGGAAGCACCGGCUAACUCCGUGCCAGCAGCCGCGGGAAUACGGAGGGUGCGAGCGUUAAUCGGAAUUACUGGGCGUAAAGCGCUCGUAGACGGUAUGUCAAGUCAAGGGUGAAAUCCCCGCGCUCAACGUGGGAACUGCCUUUGAAACUGGCAAACUGGAGUGUGUGAGAGGAUAGUGGAAUUCCAGGUGUAGGAGUGAAAUGCGUAGAUAUCUGGAGGAACAUCAGUGGCGAAGGCGACUAUCUGGCACAUAACUGACGCUGAGGAGCGAAAGCGUGGGUAGCAAACAGGAUUAGAUACCCGGGUAGUC
rnacentral:rRNA from 1 species